UACGUAGGGGGCUAGCGUUAUCCGGAAUUACUGGGUGUAAAGGGCGUGUAGGCGGGGAAGCAAGUCAGAUGUGAAAUCCCCGGGCUCAACUCCGGAGUUGCAUCUGAAACUGUUUUUCUUGAGUGCUGGAGAGGAAAGCGGAGUUCCUAGUGUAGCGGUGAAAUGCGUAGAUAUUAGGAGGAACACCAGUGGCGAAGGCGGCUUUCUGGACAGUAACUGACGCUGAGGCGCGAAAGCGUGGGGAGCAAACAGGAUUAGAUACCCUGGUAGUCCCU
rnacentral:rRNA from 1 species